CACCGGCAACAGGAAUUUAUUUGUCUGCUGCCACCACACAAUAAUUGCCUGACAGACAUGCAGCCACAGACUUUCUGGGUUUCAUUAGCGGUGGUGAUCGUUGGAGUCUUGGUGUGUACUGGUGCUGCCCCAUUCAAGGAAAGAAGUAAAUCUGUCAGUCGCGCUAAACGUUACGCGCAAAUGGACUACUUCAACGAACUCAGCAAAUACUUCGAAUCUCUGCCGCCACUGAGAAAAAGUAUCGACUCCAUGUUGAAAGCAGAAGUCAAAAGAAAUAUGUUCUGGCAGCCAUUGGGAUAUCUCCCUGCUUCCGCCAGAGUUAGCGGGAAUAACGCUAAACACGGAAACAUCGAUCCGAAUGGAUCGGACGUUUUCCGGUACGGGAAGUAAGAAGAAACAAUCCAAAUGGAAGAGACGCAGGUUUUUCUUUCUUUUUUCCGGCAAGGGAAGCAACUCUUGUGUUCUGCGGAUGUUGUACACCGACAUGCAAACUAAAAAGAAAACCGCACAAAGGAACUAUUAAUAAACUGAUUCUGGCAUGUCAUCGAUCGAGCCAUUAAAUGAUUCUAUGCUGUUACAAAGAACCACACAAGAAACAAACACAGAUAACACAAAACAUUCAAACCGAAAUUGAACACAAAACAUUCAAACCGAAAUUGAACACAAAACAUUCAAACCGAAAUUGAACACAAAACAUUCAAACCGAAAUUGAACACAAAACAUUCAAACCGAAAUUGAACACAAAACAUUCAAACCGAAAUUGAACACAAAACAUUCAAACCGAAAUUGAACACAAAACAUUCAAACCGAAAUUGAACACAAAACAUUCAAACCGAAAUUGUUCCGUCCAGCAUUGAUCAUUAACUGGAAAAGUUCUUUUGUCUUCAAAUGUUAAUUUUGUGCUAAUACACGUUUUAAAAAUAAAACCAUUUUGUGACAUUUUGCGUGAUCGCUGUAAUAGUGGAUUUAAGAUAGUUAGUUGGACUAAUCAUACAGGGCCUUUAAUAUUAUAUUUUUAAAAAUUAAUCUUGUGCUAAUACACGUUUCAAAAAUUAUAUUUGUGUGGCAAUAUGUAUGGCCUAAUAGCCGGAUUUAUAGAUUUAAAAGUAUGACAUCCUAAACACAUUGUGGUUCAAAGGCAAAAACCAGGGAUAACGGGUUUUCUUUGGGUUUUGUUUUCUUCUUAAAAAGCAACAACAUUUUUUUUUUUUUUAAAUGAUUUAAAUUUAUUUGUAGGUUAUAAUAAAUUUAUGAAUUUUAAUAAAUAUACAGCAAAGAAGACAAUUAUUACAAAGAAAACUGUCUUUCUCUUACUUUGCAUGUGUAUGCGUGCAAACGUACGGACGACUACCAUAAUACCAUACAUACAUACAUACAUACAUACAUACAUACACAUAUACACACAUUCAUUUAAAAUCAAAAUCCAUAUAUGACCAUUUUUAAUGAAUAAUGAUUUGCUUAAUGAUUAAAAUUAAAAUGUAAAAUGUGCUUUCUAGUACUGAAAUAGCACUAUUUGCUACCUAAUAUGUGUGCAGAAUAAAGGUUUAUUUUCGACAGG
rnacentral:lncRNA from 1 species